GAAAUGCGAUAAGUAAUGUGAAUUGCAGAAUUCAGUGAAUCAUCGAAUCUUUGAACGCACAUUGCGCCUAUUAGUAUUCUGGCGGGCAUGCCUGUUCGAGCGUCAUUACAACCCUCAGGCCCCCGGGCCUGGCGUUGGGGAUCGGCGGAAGCCCCCUGCGGGCACAACGCCGUCCCCCAAAUACAGUGGCGGUCCCGCCGCAGCUUCCAUUGCGUAGUAGCUAACACCUCGCAACUGGAGAGCGGCGCGGCCACGCCGUAAAACACCCAACUUCUGAAUGUUGACCUCGAAUCAGGUAGGAAUACCCGCUGAACUUAAGC
rnacentral:misc_RNA from 1 species